CAGGGGUGAGAUCGGGCUUACAGGGGUGGGAUCUGGGGCUCUGGGGUGCUGGGGUGGGAUCUGGGUUACCAGGGGUGAGAUCGGGGGCGCUGGGGUGAGAUCUGGGUUACAGGGGUGAGAUCGGGGGCGCUGGGGUGAGAUCUGGGUUAGGGGGGUGGGAUCUGGGGCUCUGGGGUGAGAUCUGGGGUGCUGGGGUGAGGUCUGGGUUACAGGGGUGAGAUCUGGGUUACAGGGGUGGGAUCUGGGGCGCUGGGGUGAGAUCUGGGGUGCUGGGGUGAGAUCUGGGUUACAGGGGUGGGAUCUGGGGUGCUGGGGUGAGAUCUGGGUUACAGGAGUGGGAUCUGGGGUGCUGGGGUGAGAUCUGGGUUACAGGGGUGGGAUCUGGAGUGUUGGGGUGAGAUCUGGGUUACAGGGGUGAGAUCUGGG
ensembl:lncRNA